rnacentral:rRNA from 1 species
GACGAACGCUGGCGGCGUGCUUAACACAUGCAAGUCGAACGGAAAGGCCCUGCUUGCAGGGUACUCGAGUGGCGAACGGGUGAGUAACACGUGGGUGAUCUGCCCUGCACUUCGGGAUAAGCCUGGGAAACUGGGUCUAAUACCGGAUAGGAGCCAUUUUUAGUGUGAUGGUUGGAAAGUUUUUUCGGUGUAGGAUGAGCUCGCGGCCUAUCAGCUUGUUGGUGGGGUAAUGGCCUACCAAGGCGGCGACGGGUAGCCGGCCUGAGAGGGUGGACGGCCACAUUGGGGCUGAGAUACGGCCCAGACUCCUGCGGGAGGCAGCAGUGGGGAAUAUUGCACAAUGGGCGCAAGCCUGAUGCAGCGACGCCGCGUGGGGGAUGACGGCCUUCGGGUUGUAAACUCCUUUCGCUAGGGACGAAGCUUUUUGUGACGGUACCUAGAUAAGAAGCACCGGCUAACUACGUG